rnacentral:rRNA from 1 species
UACGUAGGGCGCAAGCGUUGUCCGGAAUUACUGGGCGUAAAGAGCUCGUAGGCGGCUUAGUUAGUCGGGUGUGAAACCCCCAGGCUCAACCUGGGGACGCCACUCGAUACUGCUAUAGCUAGAGUCCAGUAGGGGAGUGUGGAAUUCCCGGUGUAGCGGUGAAAUGCGCAGAUAUCGGGAAGAACACCCGUGGCGAAGGCGGUUCUCUGGGACGGUACUGACGCUGAGACGCGAAAGCGUGGGGAGCGAACAGG